rnacentral:rRNA from 1 species
GCUUACAGCCAUACCACGCUGUCUGCGCCUGAUCUCGGAAGCUAAGGAGGGUCGGGUCUGGUUAGUAGUUAGAUGGGAGACUGCCUGGGAAUACCAGGUGCUGUAAGCU